CUGAAAGGUAAAAAAAAAUGGAGUUAGGCUAGAAGAGGACAGUAGAAGAGGAACAGAUAUGAUUUAUGAUCACUGAGCCCACAGUAGAAGAGCUCUUGUCACCAUACUUACAAGAUAUCAAGCCUUCAGAGUGAGCAGUGGACAACAAAAAUCUCAAUUCUUGUAGGAACUUGACAGUUCAGGUGCAAUAGCCGAUGAAGCUGAUAAGAAAUGGUGCAAAACCAGAUAAAACCAACCUAACUGAUUACCUAAGUGCAACGGUCAGAAGAUUCUAGUGAAGAAAAAAUUUUAAACUAAUUUAAAAAUCCAUGUAUGCAGAGGAUUAUGGCGGAUUCGGUGGAUUACAGCGAUUAAUUAGAUUUUUUUUUUUUUUUUUAAGUUUUUACAUUUUAUUUCCAAUUACAAAAUUACAAUAAUGCAUUUCAAAAUUCGC